GCAUUUUUACACACGCUCUCAAUUUACGUGCUCCGGCAGACUCGAUGAAUUGAGUUUGCUGGAUCUCCAGCACAUCGGAGCAGGCUCCCCGCAUGUGAGCAAGUGCCCUUGGUGUCCACUUAGACCCGGUGCCUCUCACCCGCAGCUGCAGAUUUCGAGGCGCUUGCUCCUGUUGGGCAGCCUACGAUGCGUCUGAAGUGCCUGGCAUCAGGGGCUGGGAAUGAGAAGCAACCUUGAUUUUAGCCAGGGAGGCCUGUCCUCAGGUUGUAACUCCAUGGGUAUAUUGCAACCCACAGUUGGCUCUAAGGAAAUGCACCCCUGCAGAGGUCCAGAGCAAGGGUUUUUGUCUCCUGUAAGCCCCUCGAGCUAAGGUUUCGGUAGGGCGCAGGGCCUGCCCUGGCUCGUGGCCCAGGGGUGGGUCCCAGCCUGGGAUGAGAAGUUGGAGCUACGCUGCCUUUCAGCUUAUACCCUUCUGCAUGAGGAUGGCAGAGGCUGUGUGCGCCCACGGCAUGAGCUUGGAGUGCCCUUGGCUUUCUGGAGGGCAGAAAAACCAUCAGCAAGAGGCAGCGUGGUCCAGUGGAUGGGACGUCGUGCUGGGACCCGGGAGUCUCUGCUGCUGGACCUGGGGCAAGGCUCCGUGCCUGGGUCACCGCUGGAGCACUCCAUGGGCGCUCACCAGGCUAGGGGCUGCAGACACUUAGCAAGCAGGGCCCUGAUCUCCAGUGGGGCCGGUCGGCGCUACUACCACGCGAAUGCAUGACAGAGUCAAUUAUCGAAAUGCCAAUUAGCCAAGCCGUUCAGUUAUCCCCGGGGAGGAGGUGCCGCCAACACGCAUGGUGCAUGUUACAGCAAAAAUGUUCUUCCAGUGACUGAGGAAAUCAUCAGCCAGCCGAACAAAGCUGGUGCACGCUUUCCAGAGGUCACGUACAGAACCGGCCGUUUCAUGUGCAUUUCAUUAACUGAACGAUUUCAUUUUACAAACAGGUUUUGGUCCCAAUUAGUUUGGAUAAUUGACUGUCUCCUGUAAUCAUAAGCCCGUGAAUAUCCGGAUGCCUGACUCUGGCCAGAUGGCAUCGAAUAAAUAACAGGAGCUGCAGGGGAACUGCAGCCAAGCAGGUAUGCCACCAAAGCCGCGCUGGAGCCGAACACAGGAUUGCACGUCUGCGUUUCCUCCUCUGAAACAAACCUCUGGACAAGUGAUGCCAGAAUACGCCAGACACAAAGGGCCACUAACGAGCUAGACAGGGCUUGCGAUCCAUUGAGCAAACAAGGUGUUUAAGAGAAUUUUAAACAUCCUCUAAUUUUGUCCCUCGACGCUGGCAUGGAUGAUCGUCCUGCUGAUCCAUAUUCAUACCCUCGCCGCGCCUGCAGAGACUGCAGAAGUCGGGGAGUCGCUGGUAGAGCUCAGCAUCCGGCGCCAGCACCGCGGCAGCACCCUCCCUGCAAAAUCACUCGGCAAAAAUGGAAAUCCAUGUUAAUCCCAUCAGCAAGCAGAAUCUGCCCAGAGCAACGCCAAUGCCUGCACGGCCUUGCCCCCCGUGAGCACUGGAAUUAGCCCAGGAACGGGCACUCGUUUUUCCAACUAUGUGCUGGGAUCUGACCCCGAAAUCAGCCCGUGACAGCAGGGAAGCACGGGGAUGAGCAGAGAGGAGCGACUGGCCCUGCCUGCCACUCUCGCUGCAAGCGCGAUAAGGCCAGCGGCAUCAAGAGCCGGCUGCACCAGCCGGAAAAAUACGGUUCCCCUAAAUCUCCCUGGUGCCUGGAGCCAAGCUGGAAGGGAGGCAUAUUUUAGGGGCUGAAGGAGAACACAGAGUCCUUGGCGGUGUUACAGGCAUUCAUCACGCUCCCCGCCCCGCUGCAGCUCAUCAGCGGAGCUCGCACCCGAGCCCAUCGCAGCGGCCACGCGCAGCUCCCCGCUGAGCCUCGCAGAGCAGGCGUGCUCGCCGGCCAUGGCCCGAGCUGCUCCCUGCAAGGGAAACAGCUGCCUCCAGGGGUAAAACACAUGUUUUAGGCUGGACAUAAGAAAAAAUGUCUUUACUGUCCGUGCCCCCAGGACCUGGAAUAGACUCCCUCCAGAAGUGGUGCAGGCACCUACUCUGGACUCCUUCAAGAAACGCUUGGAUGCUCAUCUUGCUGGGAUCCUAUGACCCCAGCUGACUUCCUGCCCCUGGGGCAGGGGCUGGACUCGAUGAUCUUUGAGGUGCCUUCCAGCCCUAAUGUCUAUGAAAUCUAUGAAAUAUUCGCACUUCCAUUUUCUGGCCUAAAACAGGAAAAACCCAGGGAAUGCACGUUCUCUUUAUCUUCCCGGCAUGAGGGCCCAGAGGUGCAGGCAACAUGGGGCCGUCUUCUCCCAGGCACCCCACGCUCCAACCCCGCUCCCUAGGUCGCUGGGCCCUUUAUGCGCAUGCCCUGAUAGGGAGAUGCUCCGUGCAUGACCUGCCUUUCAAGAGACGCCUCCGCUCACUCCGUGCCCUCCUGGCUUCCCUGGCACGCUGGGGUAUGAUGGAGGCAUGAGCUCUCUUUGCUCUAAGCCCGAUCCCCCGCUAAGCCUGCAAAGCCAAGGUAGCUACGUGCUGAUUUGUGCUAGAGAGAACUGACAGGCUGACAAAAACUUGCAGCUCCGUGGAAAAAGCAAAGGUGGCUUGCACUGCGGGCCGACGGGCAAGAGAGCUGCAGCAGGGAGCAAACGGCCUGGCAGAGCAGUGGGGCUGGGAGCACGACUUCGAUCUCACCGCCACGGGCACGGCAGGAGACGGGGCAUUACUGCGCUGGCUGUGGGCACUCUUGUGACCCGCGUCCACGUCUAGGCUCUCCCUAGUCCGCCCCUCUUCCCAGAGCACAGCUCGCGGUGCCCAAGUGCUGAGCAGUCAUUGGGCUGGGAUAGAAAUGCACCAUCCUUUGGGACAAGCAGGGGAUCGAGCCCCAGCUUUGCCACCUCUCGUUUGGCGGAGCUGACAGGUCGUCCGGGAGCAAGCCCCACAGCGAGCUCCCGCUCGCAGAAGUCCUCUGUAUUAGUCCUGACAGGUAGCAGUGAUUCAUAAAGCAGAAAUAAACUGGAGCUGGCUCUACAAUGCCACCUCAUUUUGUCUCCCAUUUCAGUUUUACAUCUUUCAGCAUAAUGCCGGAUGGUUAAUUAUGUUUCCAUCUUAUUUUUCAAAUAAUGCCCCUCUUGUUCUGCGUGUCGCAUCUGCUCAAAGGGUUUUCAUUUUGCCUUUCAUUUCACCUCCUAGCAGAGCUCUAAAUUUAGUCAGCUGGUAAUUUUUGGAUAUUUUAUACAUUAUGCCUUUAUUAUUGUGAAGUAAAAUGGAAUCCGUGUCUCUUAAUGCGCUCUCUAACAA